AAAUGCGAUAAGUAGUGUGAAUUGCAGAAUUCAGUGAAUCAUCGAAUCUUUGAACGCACAUUGCGCCCCUCGGUAUUCCGUGGGGCAUGCCUGUUCGAGCGUCAUCUACACCCUCAAGCUCUGCUUGGUGUUGGGCGUCUGUCCCGCCUCCUUCGCGCGCGGACUCGCCCCAAAUCCAUUGGCGGCGGCCCUUGCCUCCCUCUCGCGCAGCACAUUGCGCUUCUCGAGGCGCGGCGGACCGCGUCCAGCAAGCAACCGUCACACCGUCUUUGACCUCGGAUCAGGUAGGGAUACCCGCUGAACUCAAGC
rnacentral:misc_RNA from 1 species